ensembl:lncRNA
GUGGGACUUUGGUUUGCAGGAAAGCCUGCAUACAGGGCCAGAUCUUACUGGUUUCUGUUCCAGAAAAUGUUUCCAAUACUCCCUUUUUCUGAUAAUAUUCCAGGACCGGUUUCGUUUGGUCUUGGUAAACCUUCAUUCUUUUGCUAAGUGUCUCAGGUUUAUUGUCUACAGGCUGAAUGAGAGGCUUUCCAGUCACAUCGUCCACACCGACCACUUUGGGAGGGUUAAAUCCGAGGUUAUAGACGCGGCCACUGGCUGGAUGAACCCAGCGAGCCUCGAGGCGAUGCCAAUGACCUCAAAUGGUACAUUCAGGUUCAUCACCGAGUGUACCUGAUGGACUCUGUCCAGGGCUUCAGCCUGUGCAAGUGUCCUGGGGAAACCACAUAACAGCCAGUUAUACUGGAUGGCAUUUUUCAGCUUCUGGAGCAACAGCCGAAUAAUGAGGUUGUCCGGGAUGAGCUUCCCCUGGUCCAUGAAGGUCUUGGCCAGCACCCUGAUUUCUGUGUCCCUUCACAUGUUGUCUCGGAUCAGAUGCCCACUGGAGAAGGUCUUCAGCUGGAAGUGUUUGGUAAUGAGCAGUGCCAGGGUACACUUGCCGGAGCCCGCGGCACCCACGAUCACAGGAGUGCAGGAGCUGCCUCGAUGGCCCCAUGGCUGCCAAGCGAGGCCAGGACCGCGGAGAUGGUUGGGCCCCAGGGUGGACACCAGCUGCGCCUGCACCCCCGCCUUCGCUGCCCGGCAUCUGGGGUGGCACCUAGAAGAAGCGCUGCUUCAGAGGGUGCGACCCACGGCUGAUGGAGGAGAAACUUGGUUCCCUCAAAUGAGUGUGGUAUGAUAUGAAGAUCUGCUCAAAGCCAACGAAUGAUGGCUGUCUCGGUACUUCAGGUGGAAUUCGUCCUUUUCACCUUCAAAACUGGAAGCAGAAAGUUAGUCGAACUAAGAAAGCAGAAUUCAUACGUACAGCUGAAAAUAUAAAAAUCAGUAAGUAUAAGAACAUUAUCUUCAAGGAACAUUACUCAUCAUUUUAUUACAAGCGAUAUAAAGUUAAUUCUCCUCCACUCUAAUCCCCUACCAAAGACUAGUCACUAAUCUUUCAAAUGUAAAACAAGGGGCCCGUGAGAAGUGUGAAAUAUACAAAUGAUAGUAAACUAUUUAAUAUAAAGUUAAUUUUAAGUAGAGUUCUUUAAAUCUUAAUUUCACUAUUUUGAAUCAGUGUAUAUCAAGGAGAAUAAAAGAUUUCUUUAGAUCACAUAUGUCAAGUAACAGAUUGGAUACAUUUUGACUUAGCAAAGUAAGCACUUGGUAAAUAUUUUUGAGUGAAUAAUUUUAAUGAAGAGUCCUACUGUACUCUUGAGGUUUUUUUUUUUGUUUUUUUUUUAAUUGGCCUUUUAAUUGGUCUCCCUUCCUUGGUCUCUACCUCUUUCAGAUCUACCCUGUACAUUAUGACUAGAAAAAUUGAGAAGAUGGCAUUUAAGUUUUAGUGUUUAUGUAUUUUUAAAUAACUAGUGGUAUUUACUGAAUGUUCACCAUUGUUAGUAGCACCAUAUGAUUUAAUAAAUAUAAUGAGUAAAGGUAAAAGAACUGGAGCUCAGAGUAGCUAGCCCUCUCCUAUAGUUGGAGGCUUUAUAAUACACUACUCUGAAUUUAUGCAGUAUCAAUUUGCUGAAGAACCAAGAGAAAAGGAGGCUUUUGUAAGAAAUGAUCUCUAGACCAGAAUUAGUGGCAGUUGUCUGUUUAGAAAUUCUACCAAUAAAUAGUAUACUGUUUGAAUUUUAACAAGUUAUACCAUAGUGCAGCCUCGUGGGUUUGAUCCUCGGUUGGGAAGAUGCCCUGGAGGAGGCAAGGCACCCACUGCAGCAUUCUUGCCUGGAGAAUCCUUGUGAACAGAGGAGCCUGGUGGGCUACAGUCCAUGGGGUCGCAGAGAGUCGGACACCACUGAGCAACUAAGGACAGCACACACUCUGGAAAAAUUCCACGUUCAUCUCCCACCAUUUUUAUUUUUGAGGAUAAAUUUAUCUUUGUUUCUCUUCAGAAUGAUGGCUGUCUCGGUACUUCAGGUGGAAUUCGUCCUUUUCACCUUCAAAACUGGAAGCAGAAAGUUAGUCGAACUAAGAAAGCAGAAUUCAUACGUACAGCUGAAAAAUAUAAAAAUCAGUAAGUAUAAGAACAUUAUCUUCAAGGAACAUUACUCAUCAUUUUAUUACAAACGAUAUAAAGUUAAUUCUCCUCCACUCUAAUCCCCUACCAAAGACUAGUCACUAAUCUUUCAAAUGUAAAACAAGGGGCCCGUGAGAAGUGUGAAAUAUACAAAUGAUAGUAAACUAUUUAAUAUAAAGUUAAUUUUAAGUAGAGUUCUUUAAAUCUUAAUUUCACUAUUUUGAAUCAGUGUAUAUCAAGGAGAAUAAAAGAUUUCUUUAGAUCACAUAUGUCAAGUAACAGAUUGGAUACAUUUUGACUUAGCAAAGUAAGCACUUGGUAAAUAUUUUUGAGUGAAUAAUUUUAAUGAAGAGUCCUACUGUACUCUUGAGGUUUUUUUUUUUUUUUUUUAAUUGGCCUUUUAAUUGGUCUCCCUUCCUUGGUCUCUACCUCUUUCAGAUCUACCCUGUACAUUAUGACUAGAAAAAUUGAGAAGAUGGCAUUUAAGUUUUAGUGUUUAUGUAUUUUUAAAUAACUAGUGGUAUUUACUGAAUGUUCACCAUUGUUAGUAGCACCAUAUGAUUUAAUAAAUAUAAUGAGUAAAGGUAAAAGAACUGGAGCUCAGAGUAGCUAGCCCUCUCCUAUAGUUGGAGGCUUUAUAAUACACUACUCUGAAUUUAUGCAGUAUCAAUUUGCUGAAGAACCAAGAGAAAAGGAGGCUUUUGUAAGAAAUGAUCUCUAGACCAGAAUUAGUGGCAGUUGUCUGUUUAGAAAUUCUACCAAUAAAUAGUAUACUGUUUGAAUUUUAACAAGUUAUACCAUAGUGCAGCCUCGUGAGACUGAAUUCUGACUGUAUCAGUUUAAUUCUUUCAUUUUUAAUACUCAGAAUUUGAUAAACUACAGUUUUUUUUUUUUAAUUUACAAAAUGCAUUAUCUUAGAUAGAAUUGGACUCUAGGUUAAGAUUUCUGGUUUAUGUUUCUUUCUAGAUAAGAUAAUCUGCCAGAUGAUUAAUGUACAUAAAUAUAGCAAGCCAGUUAGAUUAUGCCAGUAUAGAUAGGUACCUUAUCUGUGGAUAGGUUUUAUAACUCUGAUUAGACUUUCUUCAUCUGUUAUAAGGUUUUGGAAAAACUCAUUGAAAGAGUAUUAGAAAAAUCCAUUGAAAUUGAAUCCAACAAUUCUCAUUGAAUAUAAAGGGAAGAACACCAUUUGUAAUAUUUUUAUUUUCAGAAUAGGUUAUAUAUUCACAUAAUUCAAAAAUUAAUUCACAUCAAAGGAUCCACAGUGGAAGGUCUUUGUUUCACCUGUGACCCAUAUCACCCAUUUCCCUUCUCCCCAAACAACCAUUUUUAGUUUCUUGUAUAUCCUUCACAGGUAUUUUAUAUGCUUUUUUAAGGACAUAAAAAUGCAUAUGCAAAUAGUUCCCUUUUUUUUUUAUAAAUGGGAGUAUACUAUAUAUACAUUCUUGUGCAUCUUGUUUUGUAUUUUUAACUUAAGAGUAUAUCCUAGAUACCAAGAAGUUACUGGUUUUGUUCAGGCAUGAUAAUGGUAUUAUAAUUAUACAAAUCAGAUACUCAUAAUCUCUAGAAAUGCACACUGAAGUAUGUUGGGGUGGAAGUACAUAAUGUAGUGGAUUUCCUUUAGAGUACUUAAGCAAAAAAGGAAAAGGAAAGAUAAAAGGUAGAUGAAAGAGAGGAAAAAGACAGGUAAAACUGUUGAGUUAGAGUGAUAUGAGGUAUAUCAUGUGGAACGAUGUGAGGGGAAUCAGUUUUCCAUUCUCUAGUAUGUCUUAACAUUUUCAUGUAAAACUUUUGUUAAAAAGGAGUGUAUCUUGGAGGUCUUUCCUUAUCAGUACGUAGAACACGGUACUGCGUUGCAUUCCAGUGUGUGCGCGUACCAGCACUUAUUUAAUCUGCCCCUUAGUGAUAGACAUUAGAUUACAGAAAACGUUAAAUUAUAGUAAAUAAACACUUAAUUAAUUGAGCAUCCACGGAGGUUCAUAUCAUUUUGCACAUCUGUAAGUGUGUCUUUAGGAAAAAUUCCUUCAAGUAGAAGUGCUGGAUCAAAGGUAUAUGAAUUUGCGAUUGUAAUGAAUAAUUUCUGAUUAUUCAUGAUUAUGAUGAAUAAUGAAUAAUUUCUAAAUUAUCCUUGAUAGGCCAUUUAUGAUUUCACCAACAAUAUAUGAGAGGACCCAUUUCCCCACAGUUUUAUCAUCAGAAUAUGUUAAACUUGUGUGUGUUUUUCCCACCAGUCUGAUAGAUACAGCAUGUUACCAUGGUAUAGUUUCAGUCUUUUCUCAUGUUACGAGAGAGGUUGAGCAUCUCUUUUUGUUUGGCAAUUUGUCUCCAUUAUUACAUUUUGAAUAUCUUUAUGGGUCAAUAUCGAAUCCAGGAGUAACAAAGCAUGACUUACUGUCGUAGCAUAGCCUGUGUCCGUGAUGGGCAUUUCUGUUUGAUUUCGGUGCCUUUCCCCACCCCAGCCAGAGUCGAGGCAGGCUGGUGCUCAGUGCAGGGCUCCAGGAGCUGCCCGCAGCCUGUUAGACUGACCUGCAGACUAAAAGCUUUAUUGAUGUCUCUGUUCUUCCCCUUCCUUCCUCCCAACAUAGAUUGAAGUUAUGACUCCCUCAGCCUCGGGGCAGCCAGGUAGGGCCUGUGGCAUUCUCAUCUAUUUACCUCAGUGUGCCUUUUAUAUUAAAUUCUCUUCUUGGUUGGCAAGUGAAAAAGAUUGGGAAACUCUGCCUUAUACAGUUGCCCCUCAGAAUAGAGGAAAGGAAAUCAGUGACCAGAGAUACUCCACCACUCAUUAAAUUCAGGAUUAGUGGAGAAGUAUUUAUAUUAAUUUCCACCUUGUGGGAGAAAGAAAAUAGAUGUUGAGAAAAUAAAUUUCUUUGUCCAACUGAAAAAGUUUCUUGAUGGUAAAUUGUUUUGUUUUACCCCAGGGUUCAAGCUAACAUCAGAAGUCCUUACUGGUAGAUGGAUUAAAGCCAAGGAGCAAGGAUGAGAUGAAGAAGCUUUGACACUAAUGUAGACCAUAUCCCAUAAAAACAUUAAAUCCCUGCCUUCAUAGAUGUUUGCCUUUUGAAGUUUUAGUUUUAUUAGCAUUAGUAACUUGCAUUUCUAUAGUGCAUUUUUCUUCCCUUGUGGCUCAGAUGAAUCUGCCUGCAAUGCUAGAGACCCAGGUUUGAUCCCUGGUUUGGGAAGAUUCCCUGGAGAAGGGAAUGGCAACCCACUCCAGUAUUCUUGCCUGGAGAAUUCCAUGAACAGAUGGGAGCCUGGCAGGCUACAGUCCGUGGGGUCACAGAGUUGGACACGACUGAACGACUAGUAUACACACACACAGCACUUUCCUAACUACUGUUUUCAUUCCAUAGCCUUAUUGAUCCAAGUAAUUUUAUUUUGAAUCCUUUGAUGAAUUAAUACAAAGUACGGAUUGUAAGUAUAUCCAUAUUUUAAACAAUUAAAAGUGUACUUAAAUCAUAUUUAUACU